GGAAUCUUCGGCAAUGGGGGCAACCCUGACCGAGCAACGCCGCGUGAGUGAAGAAGGUUUUCGGAUCGUAAAGCUCUGUUGUAAGAGAAGAACGUGUGUGAGAGUGGAAAGUUCACACAGUGACGGUAACUUGCCAGAAAGGGACGGCUAACUACGUGCCAGCAGCCGCGGUAAUACGUAGGUCCCGAGCGUUGUCCGGAUUUAUUGGGCGUAAAGCGAGCGCAGGCGGUUUAAUAAGUCUGAAGUUAAAGGCAGUGGCUUAACCAUUGUUCGCUUUGGAAACUGUUAGACUUGAGUGCAGAAGGGGAGAGUGGAAUUCCAUGUGUAGCGGUGAAAUGCGUAGAUAUAUGGAGGAACACCGGUGGCGAAGGCGACUUUCUGGACAGUAACUGACGUUGAGGCACGAAAGUGUGGGGAGCAAACA
rnacentral:rRNA from 1 species